rnacentral:rRNA from 1 species
CAAUAGCGUAUAUUUAAGUUGUUGCAGUUAAAAAGCUCGUAGUUGGAUUUCGGUUAAGAGCGACCGGUCCGCCGUUUGGUGUGCACUGGUUGGUUUUAACUUCCUGUAGAGGACGUGCUCUGGGUUUAACGACCUGGACUCGGAGUCUACGUGGUUACUUUGAAAAAAUUAGAGUGUUCAAAGCGGGCUUACGCUUGAAUAUUUCAGCAUGGAAUAACACUAUAGGACUCCUGUCCUAUUUCGUUGGUCUCGGGACGGGAGUAAUGAUUAAGAGGAACAGUUGGGGGCAUUCGUAUUUCAUUGUCAGAGGUGAAAUUCUUGGAUUUAUGAAAGACGAACUUCUGCGAAAGCAUUUGCCAAGUAUGUUUUCAUUAA